rnacentral:tRNA from 1 species
GGGCGUUUAGCUCAGCGGGAGAGCACUGUCUUCACACGGCAGGGGUCACAGGUUCAAAUCCUGUAACGCCCA